GACGAACGCUGGCGGCGUGCCUAAUACAUGCAAGUCGAACGAAGCUGUUUUAACUGGUGCUUGCACCGACUUAAACAACUGAGUGGCGAACGGGUGAGUAACACGUGGGUAACCUGCCCCAAAGCGGGGGAUAACAUUUGGAAACAGAUACUAAUACCGCAUAAUCACAGAAACCACAUGGUUUCUGUGUCAAAGAUGAUUUCGGCUACAAUUUUGGGAUGGCCCCGCGGCGUAUUAGCUAGUUGGUAAGGUAAUGGCUUACCAAGGCAAUGAUACGUAGCCGAACUGAGAGGUUGAUCGGCCACAUUGGGACUGAGACACGGCCCAAACUCCUACGGGAGGCAGCAGUAGGGAAUCUUCCACAAUGGACGAAAGUCUGAUGGAGCAACGCCGCGUGAGUGAAGAAGGUUUUCGGAUCGUAAAACUCUGUUGUCAGAGAAGAACGUGUGCGAGAGUAACUGUUCGUGCAGUGACGGUAUCUGGCCAGAAAGCCACGGCUAACUACGUGCCAGCAGCCGCAGUAA
rnacentral:rRNA from 1 species